rnacentral:sRNA from 1 species
UGGUAUUAAAACUACAGCCUGAGGCGAU